GAAUCUCGGCAAUGGAUAUCUCGGCUCUCGCAUCGAUGAAGAACGUAGCAAAAUGCGAUACUUGGUGUGAAUUGCAGAAUCCCGUGAACCAUCGAGUCAUUGAACGCAAGUUACGCCCCAAGCCUUCUGGCCGAGGGCACGUCUGCCUGGGUGUCA
rnacentral:rRNA from 1 species